rnacentral:lncRNA from 1 species
UUGUACCCAAGUUAUUAUCUGAUUCUACUUCAACCUUUUCCAGCAAGUAUAUGCUUAACUCAUUAGCUGAUUCAACACACUCGUUCGCAGAUUGCAUUUGCUGAUAAAGCGUGGAAAAUAAUGUGGAGCAACGACGAGUGCUACUAGACAAAGAUCCACCAAUUGUUGUAUCAGUAACCGAAGAAGCUGUCUGUCCAGUUUGGCUUUCAUUCAAUGCAUCCAUGUUCCUGCUCUGAGAUAUCUUAUACUCAUCAAAUAACUUACGUAAAAGACGCAUGACUUAUUCCUUCAUUUCAAUUGCCCAC